GAAAGCCGUAUGCGGGAAAACCGCCUGUACGGUUUGAUGAGGGGGGGCUGGGCAACCAGUCCUCCACUCUAC
rnacentral:ncRNA from 1 species